CGCACCUUGCGCCCUUUGGUAUUCCGAAGGGCAUGCCUGUUUGAGUAUCAUUAACAUCAUCACUCUUGAUUUUCUUGAAAACUAAGAUGUGGACUUUGGAGUUUGCAGGCCCAUCGCUGGUCGGCUUCUCUUAAAUGCAUUAGCGGAACUCUAUGCAGUACCAGCCUCGGUUUGAUAAUCCUAUCUAUGCUGUCGCUAGAUGCUGUGCUGUUUGGCUUACAAUUGUCCUUUACGGACUGUCGCUUUUGCAGCAAAACACUUGAACUUGAUCUCAAAUCAGGUAGGACUACCCGCUGAACUUAA
rnacentral:misc_RNA from 1 species